UACGUAGGUGGCAAGCGUUGUCCGGAAUUAUUGGGCGUAAAGCGCGCGCAGGCGGUUCUUUAAGUCUGAUGUGAAAGCCCACGGCUCAACCGUGGAGGGUCAUUGGAAACUGGAGAACUUGAGUACAGAAGAGGAAAGCGGAAUUCCACGUGUAGCGGUGAAAUGCGUAGAGAUGUGGAGGAACACCAGUGGCGAAGGCGACUUUCUGGCCUAUAACUGACGCUGAGGCGCGAAAGCGUGGGGAGCAAACAGG
rnacentral:rRNA from 1 species